rnacentral:siRNA from 1 species
AAAGAGACUAAGGGUUUUGAUGG